rnacentral:ncRNA from 1 species
UGGCAAACCCAUUGAAAAGUGGGGACGCAAAGUUAAGUGUCUAACCCGGAAACGGAAUGAUCGACUGACUGCC